rnacentral:rRNA from 1 species
AGUGAACGCUGGCGGUAGGCCUAACACAUGCAAGUCGAACGGCAGCACAGGAGAGCUUGCUCUCUGGGUGGCGAGUGGCGGACGGGUGAGGAAUACAUCGGAAUCUACCUUUUCGUGGGGGAUAACGUAGGGAAACUUACGCUAAUACCGCAUACGACCUUCGGGUGAAAGCAGGGGACCUUCGGGCCUUGCGCGGAUAGAUGAGCCGAUGUCGGAUUAGCUAGUUGGCGGGGUAAAGGCCCACCAAGGCGACGAUCCGUAGCUGGUCUGAGAGGGUGAUCAGCCACACUGGAACUGGGACACGGUCCAGAGUCCUACGGGAGGCAGUAGUGGGGAAUAUUGGACAAUGGGCGCAAGCCUGAUCCAGCCAUACCGCGUGGGUGAAGAAGGCCUUCGGGUUGUAAAGCCCUUUUGUUUGGAAAGAAAAGCAGCCAGUUAAUACCUGGUUGUUCUGACGGUACCCAUAGAAUAAGCACCGGCUAACUUCGUGCCAGCCGCCGCGGUAA